AUGAAAUGACUCUCGGCAACGGAUAUCUCGGCUCUUGCAUCGAUGAAGAACGUAGCGAAAUGCGAUACUUGGUGUGAAUUGCAGAAUCCCGUGAACCAUCGAGUCUUUGAACGCAAGUUGCGCCUGAAGCCAUUAGGUUGAGGGCACGCCUGCCUGGGUGUCGCAU
rnacentral:rRNA from 1 species